rnacentral:misc_RNA from 1 species
GUGAAUCAUCGAAUUUUUGAACGCAAAUUGCACUCUCUUCGGAGAGUAUGCCUGUAUGAGGGUCAGCCUAAAAAAAAUCGACAUAGUCGCUGUUUCUCGGUGACAUUCUUCGGAAAUUGCGUCAUCUUAAACCUUUGGGUUUUUAGCGGCUUAAAAUUUUCUUUUCGAUUUCACGAACGUAUCUAAGAUUUAAUUCUUUCACGUUUACGUUAAUUGUUUUUUAUUAGACGAUGCAUUG